rnacentral:rRNA from 1 species
CCUACGGGAGGCUGCAGUGGGGAAUAUUGGGCAAUGGGCGAAAGCCUGAUCCAGCCAUGCCGCGUGUGUGAAGAAGGCCUUCGGGUUGUAAAGCACUUUCAGUGGGGAAGAAAGCCUUGGGGCUAAUACCCUCGAGGAAGGACAUCACCCACAGAAGAAGCACCGGCUAACUCCGUGCCAGCAGCCGCGGUAAUACGGAGGGUGCGAGCGUUAAUCGGAAUUACUGGGCGUAAAGCGCGCGUAGGCGGUCUGAUAAGCCGGUUGUGAAAGCCCCGGGCUCAACCUGGGAACGGCAUCCGGAACUGUCAGGCUAGAGUGCAGGAGAGGAAGGUAGAAUUCCCGGUGUAGCGGUGAAAUGCGUAGAGAUCGGGAGGAAUACCAGUGGCGAAGGCGGCCUUCUGGACUGACACUGACGCUGAGGUGCGAAAGCGUGGGUAGCAAACAGGAUUAGAUACCCUAGUAGUC